CGGGGACAACAUUCCAAAGGGAAUGCUAAUACCGGAUGUGACGCUCCUAUCGCAUGACGGGAGCGUGAAAGAUGGCCUCUACAUGUAAGCUAUCGCUAAAGGAUGGGCCUGCGUCUGAUUAGCUAGUUGGUAGUGUAACGGACAACCAAGGCGAUGAUCAGUAGCCGGUCUGAGAGGAUGAACGGCCACAUUGGGACUGAGACACGGCCCAG
rnacentral:rRNA from 1 species